rnacentral:tRNA from 1 species
CCCUGGUUAGUUCAGUUGGUAGAGCGCUCCACCUGUAAUGGAGAGGUCCCGGGUUCGAUACCCCGACCAGGCG